ACCGACACAGGUAGUCAAGAUGAGAAUUCUAAGGUGAGCGAGCGAACUCUCGUUAAGGAACUCGGCAAAAUGACCCCGUAACUUCGGGAGAAGGGGUGCUCUUUAGGGUUAACGCCCAGAAGAGCCGCAGUGAAUAGGCCCAAGCGACUGUUUAUCAAAAACACAGGUCUCUGCUAAACCGUAAGGUGAUGUAUAGGGGCUGACGCCUGCCCGGUGCUGGAAGGUUAAGAGGAGUGGUUAGCUUCUGCGAAGCUACGAAUCGAAGCCCCAGUAAACGGCGGCCGUAACUAUAACGGUCCUAAGGUAGCGAAAUUCCUUGUCGGGUAAGUUCCGACCCGCACGAAAGGCGUAACGAUUUGGGCACUGUCUCAACGAGAGACUCGGUGAAAUCAUAGUACCUGUGAAGAUGCAGGUUACCCGCGACAGGAC
rnacentral:rRNA from 1 species